UAGAUGAGUCAAGAUCUGACACUCUUAAGACCCUGCGAUCGGCAUCUGUCUUUUAAAGGAUUUGCUGAUCCUUCCCAUUUGUAUAUGUUAUAGGCUCACUGUACAGAAAAGAAAACACACAUGAAAGAGACAAAAUUUUGAUCUAAUUCUUGCCCUGCACUCAGUCCUGACAUAUCUCUGAGAUACAUGAUGUGAUUAUGCAAGCGAUAUCAAUAUUAUUGCCUUUGUGAUUAAUAUACUUUGCAUGACAAGGGCAUGGCACAUGAAUUAUGAAAUAUAUGUAACGAUAUUACUUUGAUUUCUUUUCUUUUUACAGUCAAAUUGAUCUAUGGUAUACCAUGGGGCAAUGAAAUGGCCAAGUGGGUCAUGUCACUACGAUGACAUUUGUUGCCUCACUAGCAAGCAAAGGAUCCAUGUAAAGUGGAUCUUGCUGCUGCAGCUAAAACAAGCCAACUACAAUACAUGAGAUUAAGCGUGCAGGCAGCAUGGAUCUAGCUGCAGCAGCUAAAACACGCCAGCUACCAAACACGGGACUAAGCGUGCAAGAGCCUCUGAUUGCACAUAAUAGAACAAUCAGUUGUUAACAAGAGCAUAAAAAAUAGAUAACACAUGUAAUAACAAUAACACUGUUGUAGCAAUCAAUUAAAAUAAUCCCUUGAGAGCAUGCAAUUAUGCCAAAAACCACAGGUAGAGCUAACUAACCUGUUGGUUCUUGCUGCUGAUAGUUGAGACAUGACAAUGUGAUAACUCUCUUGGAAGAUAGAUGCCAGUACAUUAAAAAUGAGAACAGAACACGAGAGAUUCCAUAUGCUGUUUAUUGCUGCUGCCAGAUCUCAUACCAUGAUAGACAGCAUCAGGGAGCUGAACUGGAAUGAUUCUGUUUGUCUACCAACCAAAUGGUGCUGUGUCUAGCACAUCCCCUGAAUAAAUAGGCCUCAGCACAAAGCUAGACACAUCAUACCAUCAGUUUCCUUUCCUUCUCAUCUCUUGGAUUCAGCACAAAGAGGCAGAGCUAGCAACAGACAUGG
rnacentral:lncRNA from 1 species